ACGUCAAGUCAUCAUGGCCCUUACGACCAGGGCUACACACGUGCUACAAUGGCGCAUACAAAGAGAAGCGACCUCGCGAGAGCAAGCGGACCUCAUAAAGUGCGUCGUAGUCCGGAUUGGAGUCUGCAACUCGACUCCAUGAAGUCGGAAUCGCUAGUAAUCGUGGAUCAGAAUGCCACGGUGAAUACGUUCCCGGGCCUUGUACACACCGCCCGUCACACCAUGGGAGUGGGUUGCAAAAGAAGUAGGUAGCUUAACCUUCGGGAGGGCGCUUACCACUUUGUGAUUCAUGACUGGGGUGAAGUCGUAACAAGGUAACCGUAGGGGAACCUGCGGUUGGAUCACCUCCUUACCUUAAAGAA
rnacentral:rRNA from 1 species